rnacentral:misc_RNA from 1 species
GUAGGUGAACCUGCGGAAGGAUCACUAAAGAGAACUUGCCCUUCGGGGUAGAUCUCCCACCCUUUGUUUAUCACACUUUGUUGCUUUGGCGGGCCUGCCUCACGGCUGCCGGCGUAAGCUGGCUCGCGCCCGCCAGAGACCCCCAAACUCUGAAUAUUGUCGUCUGAGUAAUAUAUAAUAAGUUAAAACUUUCAACAACGGAUCUCUUGGUUCUGGCAUCGAUGAAGAACGCAGCAUCUGACUGACUACG